AUACGUAGGGAGCGAGCGUUGUCCGGAAUUACUGGGCGUAAAGGGCGCGUAGGCGGCGCUUCAAGUCGUCUGUCAAAUGGGAGGGCUUAACCCUUUUUCGCAGACGAAACUGGAGAGCUUGAGAAGCAGAGAGGCAAACAGAAUUCCUGGUGUAGCGGUGAAAUGCGUAGAUAUCAGGAAGAAUACCAGUGGCGAAGGCGGUUUGCUGGCUGCAUACUGACGCUGAAGCGCGAAAGCCAGGGGAGCAAACGGGAUUAGAUACCCCGGUAGUCCUGGCAGUAAACGAUGUAUGCUGGGUGUGGGAGUAGCGAUACCUCCGUGCCGAAGUUAACGCGAUAAGCAUACCGCCUGGGGAGUACGGUCGCAAGAUUGAAACUCAAAUGAAUUGACGGGG
rnacentral:rRNA from 1 species